rnacentral:lncRNA from 1 species
CUCAGCUCAAUUUGCACAUAACAUGAUCUAUCAUGUACAUACAUAUGGAAAACAGUAGAAAGUUUUCUCCAAAGGUUAAAAUAGAACACUAAUGUGAUCCAGCCAUCCCACUUCCAUGUUACUGUAGCACUGUUCGUGAUAUCCAAGAUGUAGACACAACCAAAAUUGCCAUUGUUGGAUAAUGGAUAAAGAAAAUGUGACACACUUACACAGACACAUUGGCAUGUUAUUCAUCCUUCAAGAAGAAGGAAAUUCUGCCUUUUGUGGUCACAUAUAUGAAACUGGAGGACAUUAUGCAAAGUGAAACAAGCCAGAUGCAGAGAGACAACUAGUGACUGACCUCAUUUACACAUGGAAUCUAAAAUAGUCACAUAGAAGCAGAGAGUAAAAUGGUAGUUAUCUGGGAAUGGACGGAAGGAGGAAAUGGGAAGAUAGUUUCAAGGAGUACAAAGUUUUAAUUGUGCUAGAUAAACACAUUCUGGAGACCUCCUGUAGCACUAUGUAAAUACAGCUAACAAAAAUCCAUUGUAUUCUUGAAAUUUGUUAAGAGAAUAGAUCUAGAGUAUUGUCACCUCAUGAAAGAAAGAGAGGAAGGAAGGAGGGAAGAGGAAAGAAGAUAAAAUGGUAACCCUGUGAGGUGACAAAUAUGUUAAUUAGCUUGGUUGUGGUGAUUAUUUUACAAUGCAUACAUAGAUGAGAGCAUUAACUUGUACGUAUUAAGUAUACACUCCAAAAUUUUUUUGACAUACUAAGUAUUGAAUCCAAGGCCUCAUCCAUGCCAGCCAAGCACUCUGCCACUGAGCUACACCUCAUCCCUAUAAUAUUAAUUUGUUAAUUAUAACUGAAUGAAGGCUGGGCUUGGGGCUUAGUGGUAGAGUGCUUGCCUAGCAUGUGUGAGGCACUGGGUUCACUUUUUUGCACCACAUAAAAACUACAUACAUUAAAAAAUAAAGAAAAUGUUUGCACAAAAUGAAACCAUUGAUGGAUCAGUUAAAAAAAUAAGUAAAUGAAAAUGAGCAGAGAGGGGUGAUAGGAGCAUCUAGCUAAUUUACUGUUUACUAGCAUGAGCACAGGUUACAACAGGAUGCCUGAGGUCUCCAAAACAUUUAGCUGUCACACCAGUUGUCGAGUACAUGAAUCUUGAGUGGGAUACUGCCGAGGCAGGCCUAUGGGGCAGCUUAUAAUUCUCUUUUCCCUCACGGAACAAAAUUUUUAUCCUCAUAAAUUCAAAUAUGAGGAUCAAUCAAGAUAUUGGGGGUGUUUUAGAUGAUGGGACAUGUAAGGGUAGAUCAUCGGCAAAUUUCCUUCUUUCUUUCCUUCCUUCCUUCUUACCUACUCACCUACCUAUUUUUUCUCUUUGCAACAUAUGAGGUUAUAAGAAGAAAACGAUAUUGAAAAUUGUUCGAGAAGGUCAGGGAGAGAAAAAAAAUGAACUAGAAAUGGAAAAGGAUGAGCUGUGAAGAAAAAAUAGAGAGAAGCCAAAAAGACUACAAAAGAACAGUCAGAGAAAUUAUUAUAACAAUCAAAGAAGAAACACUUCCAGUGAGGAAAUUGAUAAAAGAUAUGCCAUCUUCUAUUUUUACCAAUUGUCUUCUUAACAUCAAUAGGGUGAGUAUACAUUUUGGUUAUUUGUCCAAGAAGUUAUAUUUUCUCCGUGUCCUCAAAUAAUCAUGAGGCAAUAUGCAGAUUAAAUUAUUUCUAUUUCAGGAAAAGACAAUGAAAAGGUCUCUUUUGUUUUUACUUUUAAAUGUUUGAUUGACACAUAUUUGUGUGUAUUUAUGAGGUCCAAUGUGAUGUUUUGAUUCAUACAUACAUUGGACUGUGAUCAACCGAAGGUAAUUAGGGUAUUUAUCACCUUAAACUUUGAUCGUUACAAUCGUACAUUUAAAUUCCUCUUUUCUAACUAUUUUGAGACAUAAAAUGCAUUCUUGCAUUAUGUUAACCCUGCUGUGCCACAGAACACUAGAACUUAUCCUUCCUAUCAAACAGUGAUAUUGUAUACCCACUGACCAACCUCUCCCCCUCAACUCUACUCUGCCCAGACUCUGAUAACCACUAUUUAACUCUCAAUUUUAAUGAGAUCAACUUUUUUGUUGUUGUUAGAUCCCUUAUGGGAGAAUAUGUGGGUUUUGUCUUUUUAUGUCUCACUUAUUUCACUCAGCAUUAGAUCCUCUAGGUCCAUCCAGGUUACUGCAAACGAUGGCCUUCAUGUUUUUGAUGGCUGAGUAGAACUUCAUUGUUCACAUGCACCCCAUUUUCGUUAUCCAUUAUUCUGCUGAUGCAUGUUGAGGUUGGCUUCAUUUCCUGGAUGUUGUGAGCAGGGCUGUGAUAAAAAUGGGAGCCCAGGUAUCUUCAAUAUGAUAAUUUCAUUUCUUUUGAGUAUAUAUCCAGUGGGAGCAUGGCUGGGUCAGAUGACAGUUCUAUUUUUGUUUUCUUGAGGAAACACGAUACUUUAAUGGAUGUUCUAACUUACUUCCCCAAAGAGCUAAAGCACUCUUGAGCAAAAAAGACCACGCUGGAGGCUUCAUUUUACCAGACAUCAAAAUGUACUGCAGAGCUACAGUAAUCCCAGCAGCAUGGCAUUAGCAAUUGAAAAGCACACAGUCCCAAGAAACAGAACAGAGAGUCCGGAAAUAAUAGUCCCACACAUUUCCAGCCAACUGAGUUUUGAUCAAGGAGACAAGAACAUGUGAUGGGGAAAGGAUAGUCUCUUCUAUCAAUAGUGCCGGGAAAACUGGACAUCUGCAGGUGGAUAUUGAAAUUAGACCUGUAGAUUUCACCAGUUACAAACAUCACCUCAAAAUGGGUUAAAGACAUAAAGUGUCAGAUUCAAAACUAUGAAACUACUAGAAAAAAAAAAUAACAUCUGUAGGGGAAAUGCUUCAGGAAGCUGGCCUGGGCAAUGAAUUUUGGGCUAUGACUCCAAAUGCACAGGGUGCUGUAUAUUAAAUUUAAAAAAUGACACGAGAGUACAUCAAACUAGAAAGCUUGUGUAAAUCAAAGGAAACAGUCAAUAGAGCAAAGAAUAAAGAAUAGUAGAAAAUACUUGCUAAUUCUAUAUCUGACAAGGGGUUAAUAUCUAAAAUGUGUAAGCAACACAAGUAGUUUAAUAACAAUAAAACAAAUAACCCAAUAAAAAGUGGGCUAAAGAUCUGAAUAGCCAUUUUGGAAUGUCAUACAAGUGAUCAACAGAUAUAUGAAAAAAAUGUUCAAUAUCAUUACUCAUUAGGGAAACACAAAUCACUACCAUGAAGAAUACUGCCUCACCUCAGUGAGAUUCCCCGUCAUUAAAAUGGCAAAAAAAAAAAAAAAAGUGGCAAGAGUUGAAGAAAAUGUGGAACACCAGGAUCCCUUCACAUUGUGGCUAGAAAUGAAGGGCUCUCUCAACGAGCAGCAAGGCGCCUUGCCACUGACCAGGUCCUCUAUAAUUCACAUUCUUCACUACUUCAAGCGGUAUUCUAAGGGGAGAACAUUAACAAUUGCAUCCAGGAUACAUCAAAGCUGGCAGUACGUUACAUAAUUUUGAAGUCUGUAUACUAUUUUAGCCCAGUGUUCUUUUUUUUAUUUUUUUUUAAAUUUUUUAUUGUUGGUUGUUCAAAACAUUACAUAGUUCUUGAUAUAUCAUAUUUCACACUUUGAUUCAAGUGGGUCAUGAGCUCCCAUUUUUACCCCAUAUACAGAUUGCAGAAUCAUAUCAGUUACACAUCCAUUGAUUUACAUAUUGCCAUACUAGUGUCUGUUGUGUUCUGCUGCCUUUCCUAGGAAAGCCCAGUGUUCUUCAAAAGGGAAGAUACUAGAAAAGUACGACAGGAAAAUGUUGAGAUCCUCACUGACAGUUUGUUGUAAAGAUUCAGGAUCUUUUUUCUCUUUUCACUUGAGGUAGUUCCUCUUUAGUGGUUCCUUCAGUCUUGCUGGAGAAGUUAACAUAAAAGUAAAUGACAAUACAAGAAUGAAUUUUACGUUCUUAUUAGUGUACCUCUGGGGAUUCACCUAAAUGUCACUCUUAGAUCCAACCAACCCAGGAGAGGAAGAGCUGAAGGAAAAGGCCAAACCACACAAGGGAAGCUCAUUCUUGAAUUUCCCCUUUACAAAAGUAAUUGGCUUUGGGCUUCCUUGCUCAAAGGGCUUUGGGACAGUAACUCAAAAGUACUGUGGAGAAUAAGUUUGGAUUCUAGCCAGUUCUUUCUCACCGUCUUGUUUGAUGGACUCUCUCUUCAGUUGGUACAUAAAAUGCUUCACAACGUUCCCAAAGGUCUCCCUGAUUUAUCAUAGCUCAACGAAUAUAUCCAAUAUGAUGCUCCAGUGGCCAUGUAAAUUAAAGUUCAUUUGGAAUUCUAGAUAAAUUAAAAUAGGCUAAGAUUGCCUCUCCUGUAAGUCUGUGACUCAGCACAAUUGAAUCUCCAUGAGCAAUUUAUACAAGUCUCAUGACAUUUGAAAAAAAUUCAUAUAUACCUAAGAAGAAGACCACUGAUUCACUGAGCUCUCAAUUUGCUUUUAAAAACAUGUCUAAGGGGGUUCUCUGAACCAGAAAGUUAUUUUGUUACCAACAUUUUAAGUCAUGGAAAAAGUCAAUUUUUAAAGUUAAGUUUGAGUAGAUUUAAUCAAAAUUAAUGUAUUAUCUUAACUGAUACAUAAAAAUUACAUCAUAUGAUCUUGGGGUACCAUGUAAUCUCUCUCUCUCUCUCUCUCUCUCUCUCUCUCUAUAUAUAUAUAUAUAUAUAUAUAUAUAUAUAUAUAUAUAUACACACACACACACACACACACAUUGUGUAAUGUUCAAAUCAAGGUAAACAUGUCCAUCUCCUCAAACAUUUAUCAUUUACCUGGGGAAUAAACGUUCACAAUCCUUUUUUAAAAAAUAUACAGUACUUUAUUAUUAUGUGUAGCUACCCUACUGUGUAAUAAAAUGCCAGAACUUAUUUUUCCUAUCUAACAUAACUUAGUACCUGUUGAUAAUUUUGAAGUUUCAAAUAAAUAUGAUAGUAACCUACUUAUCUAUACAAAUACAAACAUAACACAUAAAUGUGUUAGUAACUUCUUACUUUGUCUAAAGACAUACUAAAAAUUGAAAAAGUAAUGCCUAUUAGUUUUUAAAUCUUUGAACAACUGUAAGGAAGAUAAUAAAACCAUUCCAAUUCUACUGCUUUGAGAUUGUCACUAAGGGCUUCCCUUUUUUUUUUUCCUUUGAGUAUAUAUCCAGCGGGAGCAUGGCCAGGUCGGCAUCUUAUAAGCUUCAUAGGGUGAUCAGAAGAUUUAGAUAAAUUCAUGCAAAGUUUAUAAAAAUUAACUCAUAUGUAGUUGAUAAUAAAUGUUCACUGAUGUUAUAGAGUAAAUGUUUGCAAUCCCCAAAGAUGAUGGUAUUUGGAGGUUGGGCCUUUGGGAAGUAAUUGGGUUUUGAUGAAGUUAUAAGGGUGGGACGCCCAUGAUGGGCAUCAGUUUAGUGACCUUAGAAGAAGAGAAGACAGAGUUCUUUCCCCUGAGGUACCUCCACGUGAGUACACAGAAGUUGGUACGCUCAGUGGUAUAGCAUUUGCCUAGCAUGUGUGAGGCCUUGGUUUUGAUCCCCUGCACUAUACAAAUAAAAAUAAUAAUUAAAGAUUAAAUUCAAAAUAAAGAAAGAAAAAUUAUAAGAGAACCCUCACCAGGGACCUAAUGUGGAAGCACUUUGAUCUUAGCUUUCCUCGUCUCCAGAAACGUGAGCAAUGAAUGUCUUUGUUUCAGUCACCUAGUCUAUGGUACUGUGUCAUAGCAGCCCAAGCUAAGACCAUGCUAUCGUAUAUUUAAGAAAAUAGAGUUCUAUCCCAUUCAUUUACUUGAAGAGUAUUCCCUAAAUAGGUCAAAUUUCACUCUUUACCACUAUGUAGAAUGCCAAUUGAAUCAAGAACAUUGACACAGUUACUUUUUUCUUCUAAUUAUUAUAAGUAAUACUUGGAUGAACUUCCUCAUAUUUUCACACACACUUUUUAACAUCAUAGCAUUCAUUUUCAGAAGGGACUCCAAACCUGAAGGCUACCACCAUUCCAAAGCUCUUGUCACACUGCUUUCUGCUGCAUGGAGCUUGUCCAGUGCCCUUCCACCUCGUGUCCUGAGAGCUGAAGGGUUGCAGGAGCUGCCUGCUCCCAGCUGUACUCUCACAUGGUCAGGACUGAUAAGUUUACGUCCUGUUUUGUCAUCAUUAGCAUGCAUUUCACAACUUAUUCACAGGCUGUUCUUAAAAAUUGAAAAUCAACAUUCACAUCAUGUGGCCAUACUUAAUAUUGUUCACUGUAUCAUUAAGUAUUGCAGUUCUAAUGUUAUAAUCUAAUGACCAACAAAAUAGGAAUGCUAAAACAGAUUUUCUUUUUCUCUACAAUUACCAAAAAUCAUGCAACAUUUUAGUCUAUAUAUGGUUCAUUCCUUUCUUGAACAAAUUUCUUAUUUUUUUGAACAUUUUGGUUGCCAUGAUCUGGAUGGGGUUUAAGCAUGUCCCCCAAAAGUUUUAUGUAAUGGUUUGGAUGUGAAAUGGCUCAUGUGUGAGACAAGGAAAGAAGGUUUAGAGGUGAUAUGACUGGAUGAUGAGAGCCUUAAUCUGAUCAGUGCAUUAAUCCCCUGAUAGGAAUUAAGUAGAUGGUAACUGCCCACAGGUCUGGUGUAGCUGGAGGAGGUGGGUUGUUGGAUGCAUGCCUUUGGGGUGUAUAUUUUGUGAGAUGAGCUUAGUCUCUCUCUGCUUCCUGAUCAUAAUGUACUGAGUGCUUUCCUCCACUACAUUCUUUCACCAUGAUAUUCUGCCUCAUCUUAAGCCCCAAGGAAUGGAGCAGGCUAACUGUAGACCUGUAGACCGAGACUUCUGCAACUGUGAGCCCCCAAAUAAACUUUUCCUCCUGUAAAAUUGUUCUUGUCAGGUGUUUGGUCACAGCAACAAAAACACUGACUAAAACGGUACAUGUGUAGGAGGCUUGGUUCCCAGUUUGGAAGCUGAUGGAAGCUUUGAGAGGUGUGGCCUCAUGGGAAGUUUUUAGGUCACAGGGGUGCUGCCCGAGGAAGGGAUUAUUAAUUCCCUGGAGAAAGUCUUCAUGAGAGCAAAAUGUCAUAAAAGCUUGAGCCAUACUCCUGAGUCUCUCCCUGUCUUCCUGUUUCAAGAUGUGAUUUCUUCUUCUCACACUCACUUCCAUCAUCUGCCAUGGGGUCUCACCAGGGUUGGCACCAUGCUGUUUGGACUUGUAGUCUCCAAAAUCUUAAGUUAAAGAAAUCUUUUUUUUCUAUGUAAGGUAGUCUGUGUGAGGUAUUUCAUGAUAGUAACACAAAUUGGACUAAUACACUGGAUAUCUCUUUUUUGUGUGUGACGUGUAAGUCAUCUUCAAUAUAUUUCUAAUAUGUUCUAACUCUCUGCCAAGUCUUCUGUUACCUAAAGUGGAACAUGAGAUCCUCUGCAUCUCCUUUGGAAACUCACUGGAUUCCUGUUCUCGUUUGUAUGUGUCACUUCAUAGUUGGGCCACAGUUGCCUUGGAACUCUCUUCCACCCUAGGGUUUCUAAUUACUUUCCAGUUAAUGUGCUUCAUUCAGUCUGGAAAGCUGGCUCUGCAGGAUGAGAGAACAGUCACCCCAAGACUGAUUUUCCCUGGGUUAGAUGAUGAUUUCCUGAGUUGCAUUUUGUCUUCUUUUAGGCUUAUACCAUCUCACUGUACUUCAUCAUGAUGCAAACUUCUUGGGAAGCUUCCUAUUUAUGAAAUAUAUUCCUUCUGAGUCCAUGAGCGCCCAAGAAUGCUUAAUUAGACACUUUGGCUAGGAUUUCUAACAUAAUUUAAAAAAAAAUAUUUUUUAGUUGUAGAUGGACACUAUACCUUUAUUUCACUUAUUUAUUUAUUUUUAUGUGGUGCUGAGGAUUGAACCCAGGGUGUCGCACGUGUGAGGUGAGGGCUCUACCGCUAAGCCACAACCCCAGCCCCAAACUUAUGAAUUUUUUAGACUUAUUUACUCUUUUUUUUUGUUCUUUUUGGUGGUGCUGAGCUUCACACAUGCUAGCCAGGGCUGUACCCCAGAGCAAUCCACCAGCCAUUCAAGUUUGUUUCUAAAUAAGUGAAUGUUGCUUAUUUUUUCUCUUUGGGAAAUUUUAAGAUGAUAUCUUUAUCCUUAUUGUACAAAAUGUUGAAUUUUUAUUAAUUAUUCUAGUACUUGAGAGACAUUUUCAAAUAUAAGACACUCGUACCCCUUAACCUUUUGGAACAAAAUUUUUUUUAAUUACUCACCUUAUAAGAAAUGUAGAGGGAAGAAAUCAAGUUCUGCUCUGGAAAUUCUAUAAUGCUUUAAAACCCAAGGUCAGUCCCUCCCCGCAAGUGACCUUUGGGAUGCAGCAUUCAUCCUCAACAUCACAAAGUGGUUGCUGCUUCUCCAGGUUGUCUUUCUGUGUACCAGUCAGAAACAGAAGAAGAAAAGGAGAAACCAUAAGAAGUCUCUGAUCAACUAAAUGUUAGUAAGGAUGAAGUGAAGAAUGGAUGUUGGUUAGGUUACUAUCAGGACUUGUUGGAUUCUGCCUAAUUUAAUCACAUGUUCCUUAUCACGUCUCCUGAAACUAUGCUUUCCAUUUCUAUUGUUUUUUUUUUUCAUUUUCUAUUGUUCCUAUAGAUUUCCUUAAAUAUAUUUUCUAACUCUCUUAUUGAAUUUUUCAAAACUGAUCAAUCAAGAUUUUAUUAUGUUAGAGUUCACCUAUUCUUGUUUUAUAAAUGCUUUAAAAAAAUUCUGAGAGUCUAACUAAGGGUUUAAACAAUCUGUCCUUCAGUUACUUGAAUCAUCUGUUUGCUAGGGGUCAGGAUUUUGUAUUGGAAGCCUUCUCUUCCCACACCUCAGGUUGGCACAAAUGUCUGGUUUCCUCGGUUGCCUGGUGUAGAUGAUGGUUGACAGUGCUGCAGAUGGCGGGCAUUCUGUCAACAGGGUAUCCCAGAUAUAGAAUGAGAGUCCCACUGCCCGGGUCCCGCUCCCGCAAACACCCACCCCACACACCCUACUUAUACACACACCUGGACUUGGUUCUCCGUUCCUGUUGGUCAUUUGCUCCUGUCCAGGGCCAGAUGUGAGCAGAGCUGGGGAGCAGAGAAAGAAUAGAUUGAGGAAAACUAACACUAAUACGUAUGAGAAAUGCUAUACUUGAUUUUAUUUUCAUAGAAUCCUGUUCUUGAUUUUUCUGAUCAGACUUUCUCAGAGGUAAAUUAGAGGAAAUUCAACUUAGGAAAUCAGUAACUUAUUUAAAAAAAUGAAUAACAUUUGGCAGUGAAGAUAUUGAAGAUGACUGUCAGAUUGUCAAAGUGCUUCAGCCCCAUUUGAAGUUAAUUUUGAUAAAAAUUACAGAAUGGCUAACUCAGGAAGCACCUUCCAUUUGGUUAAUUUGUACUGUAUCAGCACUCAACAUAAUUUGUUUUUCUUAAAAAGUAGUGGCAAUAGAGGAAGUAAUGUAGCAAAAUUUGAUUACCUUUUAUAAAAAAUUUAUUCAUUUAUUUACCUGUUCUAAUUAGUUAUACAUGACAGUAGAAUACAUUCUGACACAUCAUAACAUAAAUGGAGUAGAACUUCUCAUCCAUCUGGUUGUACAUGAUGUAGAGUUAGACAGGUCACGUAAUAAUAUAUGCACUUAGGGUAAUAACGUCUGAUUUCUUCUACUAUCAUUUCUAUUCCCAUGCCCCCUCCCCUCACUCACUUCUCUUUAGUCCAAAAUACCACUAUUCUCUCCCUCCACCCCUUAUUGUGAAUUAGCAUCCACAUAUCAGAGAAAACAUUCAGCCUUUGGUUCUUUGAGAUUGGCUUAUUUCACUUAGCAUAAUAUUCUCCAACUCCGUACAUUUACCAGCAAAUGCCAUAAUUUCAUUCUUCUUUAAAGCUGAGUAAUAUUCCAUUGUGUGUAUAUAUGACAUUUGUUUUAAUCCAUUCAACCUAGGUGAAGGGCAACUAGGUUGGUUUUUAGCUCUUGUUAAUUGGGCUGCUAUAAGCAUUGAUGUGGCUGCAUCACUGUAGUAUACUGAGUCCUUUGGGAAUAAAAUAGGAGUGGGAUGACUGGGUCAAAUGGUGGGUCAAAUUCCCUUCCAUGUUUUCUGAGGAAUCUCCAUACUAUUUUCCAUAGUGGUUGUACCAAUUUGCAGUCCUACCAGUAAGGUAUGAGUGUACCUUUCCCCCCACAUCCUUGGCAACAUUUAUUGUUGCUUGUAUUCUUAAUGAUUGCCAUUCUGAUUGGAGUGAGAUGGAAUCUUAGAGUGGUUUUAAUUUGCAUUCUCUAAUUGCUAAGAGGUUUAAGAUUUUUCCAUAUAUUUGUUGACUGAUUGAUUGUGUUUCUUCUUCUGUGAAGUGUCUGUUUAGUUCCUUUGCCCAUUCGUUGAUUGGGUUAUUUGUGUUUUUUGGUGUUAAUUUUGUUUUGAGUUCUUUUUAUGUCCUGGAGAUUAAUGCUGUAUGUGAGGUGCAUGUGGUAAAGAUUUUUUCCCAUUCUGUAGGCUCUCUCUUCAUGUUACUGAUUGUUACCUUUGCUGCAAACAUGCUUUUUAAUUUGAUUCUAUCCCAUUUAUUGAUUCUUGAUUUUACUUCUGAGCUUUAGGAGUCUUGUUAAGAAAAUCAGUUCCUAACCCAACACGGUGGAGAUUUGGUCCUACUCUUUCUUCUAUUAGGCACAGGGUCUCUGUUCUAAUGCCUAAGUCUUUCAUCCACUUUGAGUUGAUUUUUGUAAUUAUCUUUUGCAAGACACAAUUAUGUUCUAUGAAAAAGAACAGUUGGGUUUUGAAAUUAUUUACCUUUUAGCCGGCUACCUAUGUACUGUGUUCAAUUGUAGCAUGAUUAUGAACAAGAAGAGGAAAACGGGGUUGAUUCAUAGUGUUGAAGAAUAAAAUUUUUGUGUGAUUUUUUUUUUCUUGUUUCAAAGCAUAUCGUGAACAUAUUUUCACAAUACUGCUCUGAAUGAACUUCUAAGCUUUUGGCCAGAGACGGGAGAACAUUUUCUAUCAAGAGCCAGUCACCUAGCACCUGGUCUGGCAAUUUAAGGUUCACAGGGAAGCACAAUCACCUUAACAAAGUGCUAGCUUUUUAUUUUGAGAGAAAUAAACUUUAAAAGCCUCUGCAGAGAAAUUCUGGCUCUUGAUCACAAUUUUUAUUUUAAAACUACACAUCAAUUCUGUGUUGUAUAUGAACAUAAUACAGAAGUGUGAGCAAAGAGGGAGGAGGAGAAAAAAGAGAGAGAUGAAAAGAGAAAGAACAAAAGAUUGAGAUACCGGGAGAAACUGAGAGAAGAUCAGUAGAUUAUGAAGUGUGAAAAUAUUUUGGGUACAUCUUACUGUCUCUCUGGGCUAGGUUGCAUUGGCAGUACCUUUUGAGGUAUUCAUUUAUUAACAUCGGUUUACUAAUUCUUAAUUAUGUCUUUCCCUUAUGCAGUUAACAGUCACACUAACCUACAAUGGGGGCUUCCUUUUUAGACUGAAUUAUGAAAACUAGGGGAAUUUUAUUAAAGGAAUCACCUUAUUACUAUUCAUACUAACAUUAUUUAAACUGAACUACAAAUUUAAUCAGAUUUCAUCAACCUUCUCAUGAGUAUUCUCUUUCUGGCCCCCAAAACUAUGAUCCUAGCCUCGUGACCUAGGCUUCCAGAGUGUAUUCACCUUUCAUGUCUCCACAAUCUCUCCCUGUUGGUGAUAGAUCCUCAGUCUCUGUCUUCCAGGACCUAGCAAUUUUGAAGAUUAACUAGAUAGUUAUUUUGUGGAAUGUCCACAAUUUGGGUUUGUCUAAUGGCUUUUCAUGAUUAGAUCUAACUUGUACUAUUUUGGCAAGACCACUGCAGACACGAUAAGCCCUCUUUGGGACGCAGCAUCAGGAGGUGUACCAUGUCAACAAGUCUUAUCUUGGAUGACUCUAACUUUGAUCAGUUGGCUAAGGCAGGAUCUGCCACGACUUUCCAUUUAAAAAUUACUAUUUUUCCUUUUGAAUUAAUAAAUAUCUUGGGGGAGAUAAUGCACAAAUGUUUCUCCUUGAAGUUUUGUGCAUUAAUAUGAGCAUUCAUUGUAAGAAUUAUUACCGCAGUAUUCUUAUGGUAAGUUUCUGUUUCCUUCCUCAUAAAUGUAGAACGUUGAUGAAUUGGAAGAGCUUCUCUCUCUCAUUUAUGUACACAUUUAAUCAUUCAUUUUUAAUCAUUAGAGACUCAUUGUGGCUUGUUGUAUUCUGUUGGCUAUAAUCCAAUCUGUCCUUAGUUUUCUCACAUUGUGGAAUUGGGACUCCUUCAGUUUGGUUCCUGUGAGCACUUCCUUACCUUCUGACCCCACAAGACGUUCCGGGUUCAUCUUGGGUUUUUCCUAUCUACCCCCUGGAAUUGACUAUUUCUAUUUAAAAAUUUUCAUUUAUUUUUAUUGGAAAAUGAUAUUUACAGACACAGAUCUGGGAUUUCGGUGCAUUCAUUAUUAUUGGAUGUCACCAAUUCUAGACCUCAUCAAGUGGUUCAUACUUUCACCAAUAUCUUCCUGUCUUGAUUAAUGUGGCUUUAAUACUAAGUAUUGAAAUUGUAUAGUGAGCAGGUUCCAACUCUGUUUUUUUUUUUUUUUUUUGAACAUUGUUUCAACUACUAAAGUUCUUUCCAUUUUACGUGUAAGUUUUAGGAUCAGUUUGUCAUUAUCUACAAAACAACCUCUGGAACUUUCACUGAGUUUGUGUUUAACUUGUAGAUUAAUUUGGAGUAAAUGGACACUUCAAUUUCUAGACCCUUACUUUUUUUUUUUUUUGGUAGGGGGGACAUGAGUUUCUCCUAGACCCUUUGCUAUAAUUUGGAUCUGGAAUUUCCCAAUGUCUCAAGUGCCAGUCUUGGUUACAAGGCUGUGGCAUUGUGGGGAGAUGGGACUUUUAGGGGGUAGGGCCUGGUGGAAGGAAGUCAGGACUUUGCUGAUGCACACUUGAAGGGAUACACGGAGGACACCCCCUACGUCUCUCCCUUUGCAUUCUGGCUGCCAUGAAGUGAGGAAGAUCUCCUCUGCCAUGUGCUCCCAUCACGACGUACUGUGCCCUCACAGGCCAAAGCAAGGGGGUGAGGGACCAUGGAUGGGAACUCUCCGAAACUGGGUGCCAGAAUGGCCUUUCUUCCCCAUAAGUUGAUUUCUCACAAUGAAAGAAACCUGGUUGAUAGAUCUUUACUUCUCUGAAACUUUGAUGUUGGUACAGAAUCCAAGCCAGUGCCUAUAAAUCUAUUUGAGGGAUCUGAAUUCAGGACCUGAUUCUAUGGGUUAAAAAUGGGCCACAGUGUUGGACAAAGGUUUGCAGAAAGCAUUUCAUAUAAUCAUGUUUUUAUUUGAUUUUGUCUUUCCUAAGUCAACAAUGGGCAGACUGAAGAAAAUAAGAAAAAAAAAAAUUUCCCAGAGGGAGGACAGUAAAGGAACUGAUAGCAGAAUUCAGCUCUUGGCUUCUAAUACCCCUGGUAAUAUUCACAUCAGAUAACCUGCCAAAAUAUUCUGAAUCCACUAACCCAUAACAUUUUUAUUUAUAAAUAUUGCAAAUAUGCCUCCUGUUUUUGUUCCUUUUCUUUUCUCCCACCCCAUGUGAGUUUUUGAAGAGAAAACAAUACUUAGGAUAAGACAGCAAAUGAGUGAGAUGAUUUUUCCACCGUGAAUUCAUUAUUUGUUGGAACUACCUUGGAUUUAAUUUCUUGCAGGGACCUUCGAAUAAUCAUUCCCAGUACAGCCACUGUGGUUUGGAAACUAAAGAAGACGAGCAUAUGGUCUUUUUAAAGCCUGUUUAUGUUUUCGAAAUUUUCAGAAAUUAAUAUAUUCACUGAAAUCUUCUUUCGACUUCAACUUUUUACUUCACACAAGUUGGAAGGAUGCCUCAGUGUUGGUUUAGAAAUUAGCCAUGUUAAGGCAGCGAUUGCUCAGUACGGUCUGUUAAAAUCUGUGGAGGAAUAAAAUGACACAUUUCACUUUGAGAAGUGAAUGUUUCCAACGAUGGCUUUGUGGAACAUUUUCUGAUUAAGUAAAUUAUGUUGUGGUAUGGUAGAUAUGUCCUUGUGAUUUGUGCUAUUGGUUAUCUUGGGCUACAAAAUAAAAGGAUUAGAUUGAGAUUUUAAAUAAAAGCCAUUUUUUGAU